ACACGUAGGGAGCAAGCGUUGUCCGGAUUUAUUGGGCGUAAAGAGCUCGUAGGCGGUUUCGUAAGUCGGAUGUGAAAACUCAGGGCUCAACCCUGAGACGCCACUCGAUACUGCGAUGACUUGAGUCCGGUAGGGGAGCAGGGAAUUCCUGGUGUAGCGGUGAAAUGCGCAGAUAUCAGGAGGAACACCAUUAGCGAAGGCGCUGCUCUGGGCCGGUACUGACGCUGAGGAGCGAAAGCAUGGGGAGCAAACAGGAUUAGAAACCCUAGUAGUCC
rnacentral:rRNA from 1 species